CGAAAUACGAAUGAUUUUGUUGAAAUUAUGGAACACUGCGAAAUCUGAAGAGAAGAGACGAAGCCGCGGUUCCGUUGGCGAGGGGCCGGCUCGGGUGCUUGGGGGUGCAUUCACGAAAUCUCCUCUUGCAUAGGCAACAUCAGGGCUUUCUGUGAAACCAUUUCUCGCCAGGAAUCUGAUCUGAGUCCCAUCCUGUGUUAUUGUCCUUUGUGCGCUAUGCCGAUCAGGACAGUUCGGCUAACUCGUCAUUGAUGACUGGGCAUUGAUGACUAUUUGGAUGAGGCUCUGGUCGGCGACUAUGGAAGCACACAGAAUGAAGACAGCGACGACUUGGACGGGCACAACUCCUUCUAGCUACAUAACGAUGGGAAGCAAGGAAAACCCGGCCCCAACGAGUUUCCUUACUAUUGUCGAUCAGGAGAUCAUGGACCGCAAAGAACUAUUCGACAGGCUCGAAAAAGAGCGCCCAAAGAUAAGGCCAAAAAGGCUUAUCCUCAGAAAUUGUCAAUUAAUGCAUAUGAAAAUCUCCUGAAGAAGAGAAAUCCUUAAUCCCAAAAUAAAAACUGUUUUAAUAAUA